rnacentral:tRNA from 1 species
AGGAAUUUAGGUUAAGUAGACCAAGAGCCUUCAAAGCUCUAAGUAAGUGACCCCCACUUAAUUCCUG